CAGCAGCCGCGGUAAUACGUAGGUGGCAAGCGUUGUCCGGAAUUAUUGGGCGUAAAGGGCUCGCAGGCGGUUUCUUAAGUCUGAUGUGAAAGCCCCCGGCUCAACCGGGGAGGGUCAUUGGAAACUGGGAAACUUGAGUGCAGAAGAGGAGAGUGGAAUUCCACGUGUAGCGGUGAAAUGCGUAGAGAUGUGGAGGAACACCAGUGGCGAAGGCGACCCUCUGGUCUGUAACUGACGCUGAGGAGCGAAAGCGUGGGGAGCGAACAGGAUUAGAUACCCGCGUAGUCCCUGUCUCUUAUAC
rnacentral:rRNA from 1 species